rnacentral:rRNA from 1 species
CCCUUAGAUGUUCUGGGCUGCACGCGCGCUACACUGUCGGAUUCAGCGAGUCAUAUCCUUAACCGAAAGGUUUGGGUAAUCUUUUGAAAGUCCGACGUGAUGGGGAUUGAUCAUUGCAAUUAUUGAUCAUGAACGAGGAAUUCCUAGUAAGCGCGAGUCAUCAGCUCGCGUUGAUUACGUCCCUGCCCUUUGUACACACCGCCCGUCGCUACUACCGAUUGAAUGGUUUAGUGAGAUCUUCGGAUUGGCGCCUACGCGGCUUCUCUGAGGCCACGCUGGAUGCCGAAAAGUUGCUCAAACUGUAUCAUUUAGAGGAAGUAAAAGCCGUAACA